UCGUGACCUUCACCCGCAACACCUUCAGCCGUUGGAAUCUCGUCCCCGCUGUUCGUCGCCACUGCUCGUCAGUCGUCACCGCUGCUCGUUGCUGCUGUCACGGUGCUCCCCUGCUACCAUUAUUUGUCUGAAUAUAGUGGGCUCACCGCAAAGAUUCUUUUGUUUUUGUCAACAAAAUCUCUCAGUAGAACAAAAAAUCGAACGAAAAAGGUUCCAUUUUUCGUUUCGGUUUUAUGAAUUUGGUUUAAAGUUCAUUUCUUUUUCCUCGUUCCCAUGUUUUUGUUAAUGUGCUUGAGUUAUGUAAAUAUCGCUGCCGUUUUUGUCUGGUUUGUUAUGUUUUUGCAGAGAAUAAAAAUCAAUAACUUGAGCUGCUGCUGAUUGUUUCGUGUUUUGUUUCGUAAUUUGUUGAGGUUCGUUCACUUGAGACGUUAUAUUUAGUUAUACCCAUGACUACUAA
rnacentral:lncRNA from 1 species